rnacentral:rRNA from 1 species
CCGCGUGAGUGAUGAAGGCCUUCGGGUUGUAAAGCUCUUUCGCUUGUGAAGAUAAUGACGGUAACAAGAUAAGAAGUCCCGGCUAACUCCGUGC